rnacentral:lncRNA from 1 species
GAAAAAUAAUUUAGCCAUUGAUGUCCAAGGAAGUCAGGAGUUCGGAAUGACUCUGCUGCUGCAUGGGUCCAGUUGGUGUGGAUUCUACUCCAACAACAACACCGCACCACCAGAGACUUGGCCCGAACGUUCCUACCACACGGCAUCAGUGGCAAGAGGCAGUUCCCUUGCCAGUCAGGACGACUGACAAAUCACUGGAUGUUUUUCCACACAUUGGGCCAAACAGUGCAUUCAGUUACUCAGAAAUCGUGGACGCUUCAACACACGGUGUUAUGAAAGGAAAAAAAAAGGAAAACUCCCAGAAAUCUACAGGUUUUCCUCUCUAUUGGGAAGAAAAAUUCAGUCCUCUCUUUUCUCACCUACUCAACUAUGAUACGCCCAGGAGACCUUAUCUGUGUCAGCCAGAAGAGUCCAUCAAGAAAUAUGACGGUGUUUCCCAAUAAAAGAAUCCCCCAACUCUGAGAUGACACUGCCCCUCCCCAGACUGUGGAGUGAGUAGUGAGGUUUUUGCUCUCAAUAGAACUUUCUUCUGC